AAGACCAUAAUCAAAAGUUCUAUACUCCUGCCCUUCCCAGAAUGCUUGGAGAUUCACAGGAAUGUCCUCCUUCCUCCAGGCUUCCAGGUGACCAAGCUUGCUCUGUGGUCUGUUGUCCUAUUCAAUGUUAAGAACUCUCUAUUACUGAAACACAAAAAGCACCCCAAAAAUAUAUCUGUGGUCAGGAUGGGAAGACUGUUUUGACAAUCAUGCAAGCCCCUACUUCGGCAAUUUCAAGAGAUGACUAAUUGAACCCCAUUCGUUUUUCUUGGUUCUUGAAAUAUAGCUGAAAAGAGGAGUAGGAAAAGCCAAACCAAUGCUGGGUCAACUGAUGGAAGCUACCUCUGAUGCCCACUCUUGCUGAAACGUCCAAGGAAAGCAAGGAGGCAAGGGGCUUUUUGACUUCAUGUAUUUCGAGAGAAGAUGCUCUGACUCAGAGUAUACUCUUCCUCUUUCACUUCACACCUCUAGUUUACCAAACAAUGUCAUAAUCUCUUGUGACAUCAUAAAUUAUCAUUCCUUUACAGCAACAGAGUUAGAUCCCAUAAACAAGAAUCAUUAAGACUACUAACCAAACAAGCAGGGGGUGUUAUUAAAGAAGGCUUCUACUUGCAUGUGUUUAUCAUUUAUUGGUUUUCAUUGUGAGUGCUAGCACUAGACCUACAUACCAGGCUGCUGACUUGCCCUCUUUCUGCAUCACACAGUACUCCAACACAGAGCUGGGUUUUAAAUAAGUAUUUAAAGAAGAGUUCAUAAGAAGAAGAAAUAUGACUGUUAAUCCCAUUCAUGUAAUUAGGAGGCAGACCUCCUAACUGGAACCAUAUAACUAUUUUUAACUCUGCCCUGAAAAUGAUAGUAGCAGAAGUGACAAAUAUUACUAAUCCUGCUAAACUAUUUGUUUCUAUUAUAGUAGCAACUGCAGGCUUCAGUCCAGGUUAGGACUGUGUACUAAGGCUAGAGUUCUGACUGCUGUAGUCUGAGUAGAAGCCUGUGGGCCAUUUGCAGUCUCCAGGCUCCCAGUUCAGGGGCUGCUCCUUCCAUUCUCUUGCUGUUGCUGCCAGUCUUUGGGCUCCCCCUCCACCUUCUCCUGCCUGCCCUCACCCCUGGGGACAUCCCAUGGAGCUGAGGGAGCCCACACAGCUGAGGAAUCCAGGGAACUAAUCCAGGAAUCCAGGUCUCCAGGAACUGGAGACCCUGUGUGGGGUGGAAUCCAUGUAGCAUGGCAGGAAAGGCCCGUGAUACAUGAUGGAGUCCAGGGGUGCCAGUGUAGCUUGUAGCCACGUGGGGUGUUGGGGCAGGGCAAUAUGCCACCAUGGAUACUCAGAACUUGACCAGACCUGUUGUAGAUGAAGGACAAAUGCAGUUGGCAGUUAUCUGAAUCUUCAUAGAGAGCCGUUCAUCAAAAAGGCAUUCAAAUACCCAAAUUCAUUCAGAUUUUGUUUGAGGUCAUCUGUUGACACAGCUUCUGAUUGGUUUAUCAUAAUAGAUUCUCUUGGGUGUUGACCAAGCUACUUGUUGCAUGUAUUGUAUUUGUGUAUAAUGUGCUACGCAAGCACCAGUUUGCUCAUUGUGGCUAGUAGCUAGAAUGUAUGUAGAAAUAUCAAAUCAUUAUGGUAAUGACUAUUUUGCUGUAUGCGAGGAUGUACUGUAGAAUAAGUGAAUCUUAACUCUGCUUACCUGGAAAUUAAUUCCUUACUGGGUUUUAUUUGAGAUACUAUUGACCUAGGACUAGUGACCUAGGACUUACGUGAUAACUGGAGGAACUGAUAGCUUUUGAACACUUCUUGAUUGUCUUUAUUAUAUAGAACUGACUGUUUUUAGUCCUCAUGCUCCUUGGUCCUAUGGGGAAAGAAGAGUAGCACUGGCAUGUCUAUGUAUUAAUAGAAGGCA